GACAGAGGGUGCAAACGUUGUUCGGAAUUACUGGGCGUAAAGCGCGUGUAGGCGGCCCUGCAAGUCGGGUGUGAAAUCCCAUGGCUCAACCAUGGAAGUGCACUCGAAACUGCAGGGCUAGAGUCCUGGAGAGGAAGGUGGAAUGCUUGGUGUAGAGGUGAAAUUCGUAGAUAUCAAGCGGAACACCGGUGGCGAAGGCGCCUUCUGGGACAGUGACUGACGCUGAGGUGCGAAAGCGUGGGGAGCAAACAGGAU
rnacentral:rRNA from 1 species